GCAAACUUGGUCAUUUAGAGGAAGUAAAAGUCGUAACAAGGUUUCCGUAGGUGAACCUGCGGAAGGAUCAUUAUCGAAUCGUCAAACAUGGGUUGUUGCUGGCCCCCGAACGGGGCAUGUGCACGCUCUGUUUACACAUCCACUCACACCUGUGCACCCUCUGCAGUUCUGUGGUUUGGGGGACCCCGUCUUCCUUUCCGUAGCUCUGCGUCUUUACACAAACGCCGUAGUGAUGUCUUAUGGAAUGUUUUCCGCGUUUAACGCGAUACAAUACAACUUUCAGCAACGGAUCUCUUGGCUCUCGCAUCGAUGAAGAACGCAGC
rnacentral:misc_RNA from 1 species